UGAUGUUACAACACAAAACUGAGUAAUACAACUUAGAGCUUUGUAGUCUUUAGGACUGUGAUUCUUUCUAGAGGCUUAAGCAUCUGGAUGCCAAACUUCUGGCAACUUUAAAGAUAAACACUGAAGUACAGAGAAGAGGUAAAAAUGUAGUAAAGAGAGCUGUUAUGAGUGGAAGCUUAGUGGAAGAUAUUCUCAGGAGUUAACAUAAUUCAGAAAACUUACUUCUACCCCACCUGAAAAUAUGUUUAUGUAAGUAGACAAUCAGUCUGCACUGCUGUCUGUCGAAGAUAGCUGAAAAUGGCUGCCUAAGAGAAAUAAAUUUUACUGGAAAUCCUUCUUUCUCCCUUGGUUAAUUGCAGACACUGGUUCUCUUCUUUAACAUAAUAACAAGACUUUGCAAACUGAUUCUCUCUAACUCUUAAGCACAAAUUUGAAUACAUGAUUCCAAGUUUCCUUAUUCAACAGAGUUUGUGAGCAGACGUUGCUGGCAAUGGGAGCCUCUGUAUGCUCUCAGUGAAAAGCCCAUGAAGUGUUUUUAAGGAUAGGUAUGGAUUAACGGACUGUGACUCCAAAGGUUGCCUGGGUUUUUUCAUUAGUCUGUUCCAGUCCUGCUACUUUUGAAGUACUUUGGAAAUGGACAUUAUCUCUUAUUGAAGUAGGGAGAAUUUGUGGUAUGCUAAGAAGGUGGGAGUUGGACGAUCUAAUUCCCUUAGGCUCCUUUGGAAACCAAGACUGUCAAAUCUGAAUGCUGAAGAAACUCCCAUGAUAGCAUCGAUAUCUAUAUAGUUAAAAGAAGAAUAAUUUCUCCCACCUCUGAAGGUCUUGAAAAUUGAGAUUACAUAGAUGCAAACUGGCAAAAUAAAUCCA